AGUGAACGCUGGCGGUAUGCCUAACACAUGCAAGUCGAACGGCAGCACAGUAAGAGCUUGCUCUUACGUGUGGCGAGUGGCGGACGGUUGAGUAAUACAUCGGAAUCUACUUUUUCGUGGGUGAUAACGUAGGGAAACUUAUGCUAAUACCGCAUACGACCUACGUGUGAAAGCAGGCGUUCUUUGGACCUUUCGCUAUUGAAUGCGCCGAUGUCGGAUUAGCUAGUUGGCUGGGUAAAGACCCACCAAGGCGACGAUCCGUAGAUGGUAUGAGAGGAUGAUCAGACACACUGGAACUGAGACACGGUACAGACUCCUACGGGAGGACACAGUGGGGAAUAUUGGACGAUGGGCGCGAGCCUGAUACAGCAAUACCGCGUGAGUCAAGAAGCACUUAGGGUUGUAAAGCGAUGUUGUUGGGAAAGAAAAGCAGCAGUUUAAUCCCCGGCUAUACUGACGGUACCCAAAGAAUAAGCACCGGCUAACUUCGUG
rnacentral:rRNA from 1 species